UACGUAGGGUGCGAGCGUUGUCCGGAAUUACUGGGCGUAAAGAGCUCGUAGGUGGUUUGUCGCGUUGUUCGUGAAAACCUGAGGCUUAACCUUGGGCGUGCGGGCGAUACGGGCAGACUGGAGUACUGCAGGGGAGACUGGAAUUCCUGGUGUAGCGGUGGAAUGCGCAGAUAUCAGGAGGAACACCAAUGGCGAAGGCAGCUCGCUGGAACGGUACUGACGCUGUGGCGCGAAAGCGUGGGGAGCAAACAGG
rnacentral:rRNA from 1 species